rnacentral:rRNA from 1 species
UACGUAGGGGGCAAGCGUUGUCCGGAUUUAUUGGGCGUAAAGAGCGUGUAGGCGGUUUGGUAGGUCCGUUGUGAAAACUCGAGGCUCAACCUCGAGACGCCGAUGGAAACCAUCAGACUAGAGUCCGGAAGAGGAGAGUGGAAUUCCUGGUGUAGCGGUGAAAUGCGCAGAUAUCAGGAAGAACACCCGUGGCGAAGGCGGUUCUCUGGGACGGUACUGACGCUGAGACGCGAAAGCGUGGGGAGCGAACAGG